rnacentral:rRNA from 1 species
UCUGAUUGAUUCUGUCAGCGCUGUAUGCUCAAGUAAAAGAUUAAGCCAUGCAUGUAAAAAGUUCAACUUUAUAGUGAAACUGCGAACGGCUCAUUAGAGCAGAUAUAAUAUACCCGAGAUAUCUUUAGUGGAUAACUGCGGUAAAUCUGGAGCUAAUACAUGUCACAAAAGCUAGGCUCGCUUAGCUGCAGGUAUUAGUGCAAACCAAUCGUUUUCGGACGUAGUUUGCUGACUCUGAAUACCCAGUAUAUCGACGGUUUAUCCGUCGAAAGCUCGGAAUAGUGUCUGCCCUAUCAACUAGAUGGUAGUCUAUUAGACUACCAUGGUGAUAACGGGUAACGGAGAAUAAGGGUUCGGCUCCGGAGAGGGAGCCUUAGAAACGGCUACCACAUCCAAGGAAGGCAGCAGGCGCGUAACUUAUCCACUACCACAGUGAGAUAGUGACUAAAAAUAAAAAGUCCAAUCCUAACGGAUCGGAUAUUUCAAUGAAUUGAGCUUAAAUAGCUCUAUGAGGACCUAAUGGAGGGCAAGUCUGGUGCCAGCAGCCGCGGUAAUUCCAGCUCCAUUAGUGUACAUCGAUAUUGCUGCGGUUAAAAAGCUCGUAGUUUGAUCUGGGUUGCAUGCGUUGAUACUCCUUUGGAGGUUAUCUUCGCUGCAGCUAAACUGCUGGUUAUCUGCAGGUGUUUUCGGACCCUGUAGCGGCUAGCGAGAUUACUAACACAAAAUCAAAUAGCUUAGAUAAGGCGUCUGCCUGAAUGUUCUAUGCUGGAAUAAUGGAAAAGGACUUCGGUCUUGUUUAUUGGUUCUUAGUUCGAAGUAAUGAUUAAUAGAGACGAUUCGGGGCUGUUCGUAUCAUUACGCGAGGGGUGAAAUCCGUUGACCGUAGUGAGACGUCCAAAAGCGAAAGCAUUCAGCAAGAACGUCUUCAUUAAUCAAGAACGAAAGUCAGAGGUUCGAAGGCGAUUAGAUACCGCCCUAGUUCUGACCGUAAACUAUGCCAUCUAGCGAUCCGAUGGGGUAAUUUGCCUUGUCGGGGAGCUUACCGGAAACGAAAGUCUUUCGGUUCCGGGGGUAGUAUGGUUGCAAAGCUGAAACUUAAAGAAAUUGACGGAAGGGCACCACCAGGAGUGGAGCCUGCGGCUUAAUUUGACUCAACACGGGAAAACUCACCCGGCCCGGACACCGUUAGGAUUGACAGAUUGAAAGCUCUUUCUCGAUUUGGUGGUUGGUGGUGCAUGGCCGUUCUUAGUUGGUGGAUUGAUUUGUCUGGUUUAUUCCGAUAACGAACGAGACUCUAUCCUACUAAAUAGUUUCACGAUUUUCAAGUCAUGUAGACUUCUUAGAGGGAUAAGCGGUGUUUAACCGCACGAGAUUGAGCGAUAACAGGUCUGUGAUGCCCUUAGAUGUCCGGGGCUGCACGCGCGCUACACUGGAGAAUUCAGCUGGUCUUCCAUUGCCGAAAGGUAUUGGUAAACCGUUGAAACUUCUCCGUGACCGGGAUAGGGAAUUGUAAUUAUUUCCCUUGAACGAGGAAUUCCUAGUAAGUGUGAGUCAUCAGCUCACGCUGAUUACGUCCCUGCCCUUUGUACACACCGCCCGUCGCUGUCCGGAACUGAGCUGUUUCGAGAAGACUGAGGACUGCUGUCUUGAGGCUUCGGCUUCUUUACGAUGGGAAUCAGUUUAAUCGCAAUGGCUUGAACCGGGCAAAAGUCGUAACAAGGUACCUGUAGGUGAACCUGCAGGUG